rnacentral:rRNA from 1 species
UGGCGUGUCGUCAGCUCGUGUCGUGAGAUGUUGGGUUAAGUCCCGCAACGAGCGCAACCCUUUCCUUAUUUGCCAGCACUCGGGUGGGAACUUUAAGGAUACUGCCAGUGACAAACUGGAGGAAGGCGGGGACGACGUCAAGUCAUCAUGGCCCUUACGGCCAGGGCUACACACGUGCUACAAUGGUCGGUACAAAGGGUUGCUACACAGCGAUGUGAUGCUAAUCUCAAAAAGCCGAUCGUAGUCCGGAUUGGAGUCUGCAACUCGACUCCAUGAAGUCGGAAUCGCUAGUAAUCGCGGAUCAGAAUGCCGCGGUGAAUACGUUCCCGGGCCUU